rnacentral:lncRNA from 1 species
AUGGAGGGGAACACCAGCAGGAAGAAGGACUGGACUGUGAGCGACAAAGCAGUUAUGGUGUUGCCUUGCCUGGGGCUAUGGAAGCUUGGUCUGGAGGCUUUCCCAGGUGGUGCGCCCUGGAGAGUGAGACCCUUCCCAUCCCUCUGGCUUCAUUGUUUUCUUGUUGUUUCAGGGUGGUCUGCAACUGGAGGGCUGACAGCUGUUUUUUUCAGGUUCAGGGCCAGACCAAGAACUGCGAUGGUGCCCUUCUGGAGCAAGGGUUGGGUGUGCUGCUGGAGUCCUGAGAGGAAGGUGAAGCCCUGAGGUUGGAAGGCUGUGGCUGCAGAAGCGGAGCAGAGGGACCAGGUAGGCAUGUGUUGCAUGCUGCUUACCUUAGGGGUGGUUUUCAAUAAGAAAAGUGGCUUGGCUUGGUUGCUUUGGUGGAUUCUUAUGGUGUGGUGGUUUUAAGGGAGAGUAGGGCUAGGUGAGUGAGUUAUGUUUAGAUGCUGUGUGCAGAGAUGUGGUGAAAUGGGGUUAUUGGUGGGUGUUGGAUGAUGUAGCAGGUCUUGAGUGGUGUUGGUGACGGUGUGACUUUUGUGGUUUAGAGGUGGUAUCUUUAGCUUGUGCUUUCUUUUUGUCUUAGUGAUGGUUUUUGGUCAGGCUUGGUUGCUGUGGCUUUUGAGUGGUGGUGGAUAGUUGUUGUGUCCCUUAGAAAAUCCC